GAGGCAGCAGUGGGGAAUAUUGCACAAUGGGCGAAAGCCUGAUGCAGCCAUGCCGCGUGUGUGAAGAAGGCCUUCGGGUUGUAAAGCACUUUCAGUUGUGAGGAAAGGUGGGUAGUUAAUAGCUGUUCACUGUGACGUUAGCAACAGAAGAAGCACCGGCUAACUCCGUGCCAGCAGCCGCGGUAAUACGGAGGGUGCGAGCGUUAAUCGGAAUUACUGGGCGUAAAGCGUGCGUAGGCGGUUUGUUAAGC
rnacentral:rRNA from 1 species